rnacentral:rRNA from 1 species
UACGUAGGGACCGAGCGUUGUCCGGAUUCAUUGGGCGUAAAGAGCUCGUAGGCGGCCACUCAAGUCGAAUGUGAAACCUCGAGGCUUAACCUCGAGCCUGCAUUCGAUACUGGGCGGCUAGAGUCUGGUAGGGGGAUCUGGAAUUCCUGGUGUAGCGGUGAAAUGCGUAGAUAUCUGGAGGAACACCGGUGGCGAAGGCGGCAUCCUGGACCAACACUGACGCUGAGGAGCGAAAGCCAGGGGAGCAAACGGG